UACAGAGGGGGCAAGCGUUGUUCGGAAUUACUGGGCGUAAAGGGCGCGUAGGCGGCCUGCUAAGUCGAACGUGAAAUCCCUGGGCUCAACCCGGGAACUGCGUCCGAUACUGGUUGGCUUGAAUCCGGGAGAGGGAUGUGGAAUUCCAGGUGUAGCGGUGAAAUGCGUAGAUAUCUGGAGGAACACCGGUGGCGAAGGCGGCAUCCUGGACCAAUAUUGACGCUGAGGAGCGAAAGCCAGGGGAGCAAACGGG
rnacentral:rRNA from 1 species